GUUCAACACAAAAAAUAAAUCUGGUAUUUCCAACCACCCAUGUAUUUUUCUGUUCAUUAUAUAAAGGACAGUCUUAAAUGAAAAGCGAUAAUGUUCACAGAAAAGCGAUAAUUGAAAAGGCGAUAAAUUUUUACAUGUGAGGGAGCGAUUAUAGAAUACCCGGCCACUUCUGAAUUUUGAUAGUGUUUGCUUUUGGGGGAUACGGGGAUACGCAGUCAUUAAAAUGACGUAAUUAUUCGAGUAGUUUAAGAGGAGAAUGGGUAACUAUUAUUUUUCAAUGAUACGGGGAUACGGGGAUACGCAGUCAUUAAAAUGACGUAAUUAUUCGAGUAGUUUAAAAGGAGAAUGGGUAACUAUUAUUUUUCAAUGAUACGGGGAUACGCAGUCAUUAAAAUGACGUAAUUAUUUGAGUAGUUUAAAAGGAGAAUGGGUAACUAUCGUUUUUCAAUGAUACGGGGAUACGGGGAUACGCAGUCAUUAAAAUGACGUAAUUAUUGGAGUAGUUUAAAAGGGGAAUGGGUAACUAUUAUUUUUCAACGAUACGGGGAUACGCAGUCAUUAAAAUGACGUAAUUAUUUGAGUAGUUUAAAAGGAGAAUGGGUAACUAUUAUUUUUCAAUGAUACGGGGAUACGGGGAUACGCAGUCAUUAAAAUGACGUAAUUAUUUGAGUAGUUUAAGAGGAGAAUGGGUAACUAUUAUUUUUCAAUGAUAAGGGGAUACGGGGAUACGCAGUCAUUAAAAUGACGUAAUUAUUCGAGUAGUUUAAGAGGUUUUAAGAGGAGAAUGCCGCGGGUAACUACUAUUUUUUAAUGAUACGGGGAUACGGGGAUACGCAGUCAUUAAAAUGACGUAAUUAUUCGAGUAGUUUAAAAGGAGAAUGGGUAACUAUUAUUUUUCAAUGAUACGGGGAUACGGGGAUACGCAGUCAUUAAAAUGACGUAAUUAUUCGAGUAGUUUAAGAGGAGAAUGGGUAACUGUUAUUUUUCAAUGAUACGGGGAUACGGGGAUACGCAGUAACUAAAAUGACGUAAUUAUUCGAGUAGUUUAAGAGGAGAAUGGGUAACUAUUAUUUUUCAAUGAUACGGGGAUACGGGGAUACGCAGUCAUUAAAAUGACGUAAUUAUUUGAGUAGUUUAAAAGGAGAAUGGGUAAC
rnacentral:lncRNA from 1 species